UGUGGUGUUUGUACUUGGAUUAGGUGA
rnacentral:piRNA from 1 species